GAUGAACGCUGGCGGCGUGCCUAAUACAUGCAAGUCGAGCGAACGGACGAGAAGCUUGCUUCUCUGAUGUUAGCGGCGGACGGGUGAGUAACACGUGGAUAACCUACCUAUAAGACUGGUAUAACUUCGGGAAACCGGAUCUAAUACCGGAUAAUAUUUUGAACCGCAUGGUUCAAAAGUGAAAGACGGUCUUGCUGUCUCUUAUAGAUGGAUCCGCGCUGCAUUAGCUAGUUGGUAAGGUAACGGCUUACCAAGGCAACGAUGCAUAGCCGACCUGAGAGGGUGAUCGGCCACACUGGAACGGAGACACGGUCCAGAGUCCUACGGGAGGCAGCAGUAGGGAAUCGUCCGCAAUGGGCGAAAGCCUGACGGAGCAACGCCGCGUGAGUGAUGAAGGUCUUCGGAUCGUAAAACUCUGUUAUUAGGGAAGAACAGAUGUGUAAGUAAAUGUGCACAUCUUGACGGUAACUAAUCAGAAAGCAACGGCUAACUACGUG
rnacentral:rRNA from 1 species